rnacentral:rRNA from 1 species
GUGAACGCUGGCGGUAGGCCUAACCCAUGCCCGUCGAACGGCAGCACCGUAAGAGCUUGCUCUUACGGGUGGCGAGUGGCGGACGGGUGAGGAAUACAUCGGAAUCUACUUUUUCGUGGGGGAUAACGUAGGGAAACUUACGCUAAUACCGCAUACGACCUACGGGUGAAAGCAGGGGAUCUUCGGACCUUGCGCGAUUGAAUGAGCCGAUGUCGGAUUAGCUAGUUGGCGGGGUAAAGGCCCACCAAGGCGACGAUCCGUAGCUGGUCUGAGAGGAUGAUCAGCCACACUGGAACUGAGACACGGUCCAGACUCCUACGGGAGGCAGCAGUGGGGAAUAUUGGACAAUGGGCGCAAGCCUGAUCCAGCCAUACCGCGUGGGUGAAGAAGGCCUUCGGGUUGUAAAGCCCUUUUGUUGGGAAAGAAAAGCAGCAGGUUAAUACCCCGCUGUUCUGACGGUACCCAAAGAAUAAGCACCGGCUAACUUCGG